AACUAUGAAAUCAACUUACGACAUAAUCCAGCAAACUUAUCUGGCAAUGAAUUCAUGCACCGAUCUGUUUCAUAUCAAAGUCUGAAUCACCGGUAUGAAGAAUCGAGGAAGUGGAAAUGAUACAGAAAAUGACGGUUAUCAACCAUUGAGGAAGAAUGGUAAUGUAACAAAUGGUGAAAGUGUUAGUGAAUAUCGAAAUUCUUCUGUCAGUGAUUCGAUCUUCAAGGAAGAUAACGAAGGCGAGUAUGUUAUAGCAAUAGCAUAAAACAUUUUCCAAACAUUAUUAGCAAAAAAUUUCAAUGAAGACAAGGUGCACCAUUGAAUGAUCUCAAAGAAACGAUGACGAAAGAGCAUAAACUUUCUGAUUCAGAACUGCAAUUUUAUGCAUGCGAAACGAAUUUCGGAAAUCAGCAUAGGUGUUGCAUUUUGUUCCUAUAUUAGUCCAGAUUCUAUAUGAGUUCAGUAAUGUCAUUCACUUCCAGUGACCUGCAUUGGUGAACUGUAAUGACUAUAAUAGUUAAUUUAACGAAUAGAUAACAUUUAACCGUUGUCUUUACAGUUAUAGAUACACGGGUAUGACGUCAACUGUGAUAAAUACAAAGUGGCCACAAGCCGCAGGGGCGAGCAAAAAAGAGCAAAAAAACUUACUAAAUAUAUUAAAAAAGAAUCCAAAACUCGAGGCAGACUGCAAAAACAUCAUUUGUUUACUUCGUGUUUAAAUCCGGGACCUAAAUUUGCCGCCCAAUCCACGCGUCGCCUUAAAACGACAUCAAUUCCACCUCUUGUCUUAUUUAUAAUCUCUAUGGUAAUAACCUUCCUCUUGUUGAUUAAAGUUUUAUUUUCAUUUUUAA